rnacentral:rRNA from 1 species
UGAGACGGAGACACCCCGGGAAACUGGGGCUAAUCCCAGAUAGAUGAGAACUCCUGGAAUGGGUUCUCGUCCAAAAGGCAUCGAGGUCAUGCUUCUUGAUGUCGCUCAAGGAUGGGGCCGCGGUCGAUCAGGCUGUUGGUGAGGUAACGGCUCACCAAACCUAUAACCGAUACGGGCCGCGGGAGCGGGAGCCCGGAGAUGGGAACUUAGACAAGGUCCCAGGUCCUACGGGGCGCAGCAGUUGCGAAAACUCCGCAAUGCACGAAAGUGUGACGGGGCUACCCCGAGUGCUGUCCGCUGAGGAUGGCUUUUCCCCGGUGUAAGGAGCCGGGGGAAUAAGGAGAGGGCAAGUCUGGUGUCAGCCGCCGCGGUAAUACCAGCUCUCCGAGUGGUGGGGAUGCUUAUUGGGCUUAAAGCGUCCGUAGCUGGCUUUUCAAGUCUCUCGUUAAAUCCAGCGAUUCAAUCGUUGGUCUGCGGGAGAUACUGUUGGGCUGGGGGGCGGGAGAAGCCGACGGUAUUUCCGGUGUAGGGGUAAAAUCCUAUAAUCCCGGGAGGACCACCAGUGGCGUAGGCGGUCGGCUAGCACGCGCCCGACGGUGANGGACGAAAGCUGGGGGAG